AACGAACGCUGGCGGCAGGCUUAACACAUGCAAGUCGAGCGCCCCGCAAGGGGAGCGGCAGACGGGUGAGUAACGCGUGGGAAUCUACCCAUCCCUACGGGAUAGCUCCGGGAAACUGGAAUUAAUACCGUAUACGCCCUACGGGGGAAAGAUUUAUCGGGGAUGGAUGAGCCCGCGUUGGAUUAGCUAGUUGUGGGGUAAAGGCCUACCAAGGCGACGAUCCAUAGCUGGUCUGAGAGGAUGAUCAGCCACAUUGGGACUGAGACACGGCCCAAACUCCUACGGGAGGCAGCAGUGGGGAAUAUUGGACAAUGGGGGCAACCCUGAUCCAGCCAUGCCGCGUGAGUGAUGAAGGCCUUAGGGUUGUAAAGCUCUUUCACCCGGGAAGAUAAUGACGGUACCCGGAGAAGAAGCCCCGGCUAACUUCGUGCCAGCAGCCGCAGUAA
rnacentral:rRNA from 1 species